UACAGAGGUCUCAAGCGUUGUUCGGAAUUACUGGGCGUAAAGGGUGCGCAGGCCGCGCGGGCAGUCAAAUGUGUAAUCCAGGGGCUCAACCCCUGAACUGCGCUUGAUACUUCCGCGCUCGAGCUUUGGAGAGGAGUCUGGAAUUCUCGGUGUAGCAGUGAAAUGCGUGGAUAUCGAGAAGAACACUUAGGGCGUAGGCAAGACUCUGGACAAAUGCUGACGCUCAUGCACGAAGGUUAGGGUAGCGAACGGG
rnacentral:rRNA from 1 species